GGACGUGUGGUGUAGUGGGUACGUAAUGUGUCCUUCGUCCCUCGAAGUUCGGCAGCUGACCUUAACUGCAAGUUAUCACGUUUCGUUUACAGACAACUGUAUUCUGUUCUCCGAAAAGGCCCCGUGUUCGAUCCACGGCAUGUUCA
rnacentral:tRNA from 1 species